rnacentral:lncRNA from 1 species
AUCACUUUGCCUGUAUCUACACAACCUUUGACAUGAAACCAUGCUCAUGGCAUGCUCCCUGACAUAGCUGCCUUGCAGGAGGCUCACAAACAGCCUGUCUGGACAAACCAGGUGGCUACAGGGAUAUUCCUAGUGAUACUCACACCAAGGAGUGACUCCAGACUGAAUGAGGCAGACUGGCCUGUUUCUGCAGUGCUUAAGUCUCAGCUGUUUGGAAGGCUAGAUUUUAUCCUUGCUGCACAUCAGUGGUGUGCACUGUGCUACCUCUUCUUUCCCCUCCCCACAGACACCAUAGGACAUGAGCCUUCCACCAGGCUCCUACCAGAGCCUUCACUCACCUCAGAAAGUAUGAGCCCUGACUUGUGUGAGGUGUGGAGAGAGAAAAGUGUCAGAAAAACCAGGACUGGGAUGGAUAAUGCUGCCUGCCUGACAUGGACCAGUGCUUAGAUUCUCCAUCCAAAAGAGCUUUGGUAAAUACUAAAGCAGCAAAUGAGUGCAGACUACGCAGUAUUCAGGGGGAAUGUGGAGCUGGCAUAGCGAUGUAGAUUGGUGUUGCACAAGUUGGUUCAUAAGGUCCCUGACUUAAAGUGAGAGAGGGGCUCUGGCACAUAUGUGCAUUCAGUGCACAACCCUGCAGUUCUUCAGUCAACAGUGUUCAACAGUCCUUCAGUUCUUGAAGUUGUGGCUGCAUUUGUUCCCUCAGCUUUUCAUUUAUAACCUUCACACCUGAGGACCCAUAAAGCCACAGGACUUGAUUACCAAACUCCUUCUGGUCCUGUCUAUGCUGGUUGUUCCCAGCUUCUACAGAAAGAAACUUGAUGAGAUCUAGUGUUCCCCCACUCUGUCCCUUCCUUUUGGGAGGAGCACCACUGAGCAAUGCCAAUUCUUUUGCUUUGAGCUGGAUUCCUUGAAGGAGUGGUAAUAGUAUUGGCAUGCCUCUGCCCAACCUACAUGUUCUAGUUUUGACACUUUCUUCCUCUUUGAUGACUCUUGUAUUUCUAUUUUAAUGUCAUCAUCCUUUGCUUUGGCUGGGUAGCUGGUAUCAGACAUGAAUGAAGUAUGUUUUUAGGGGGAAAUCCAUUGAGGACAAUGGUCAUAAGCAGAUAACUCGGGGGAAAAACAAGAACAGAGCAAGCAAAUGAGUGUGCUUUGAGGACUCCCAGUUUUAUACAAUUGCCAGCUGAGAGAUUUCCAGAAUCAGGUGUCAUUUCUAGGCAUUUAUUACUCUGUAAAAGAUUUUUCUUCCAUUACCUGGUGCAGUGUCCCCUCAAACCCAUCUGUGUACAAUAUCCACUACUGCCCAUACUACAGGAAUACCCUCCCUGUCACAUUUGUUUGGAUCAGAAUAUGCAGUCUUCACUUGAUGUCUUCCUGGCUUUUCACUGGAGGAAAUAGUGAGCAGUUGAUCCCUAUUCACCACUAUGCCUCCUAUGAUUAUGUAAACUCCUCCUAUUUUCCUUUGGUGGUUUAUUUUUCAGAAUGAAAAAGACUGGCCUAGUCAGUAAUUCCCUGUGCAGGAGGUUCCAUUUAAAUACAUAAGGGCUAUGCUUACAAGCAAUUUAUACUUCCCCAAGAUAAUUAAUCUUUUAUAGAUGUAGAGUCACCAUUUUUAAAUCUCCUUAUACUGACUCUAUUUACAUAGAAAAAUAUGCCUAGCACUGUCACACACAGAGGUAGUAGUUUAUGGUAGUACUUUGUACUGUCUUGUAAACAAGGAUGAGUUUUUUAUCCUCCAUCACAGAGACAUUCCUAUCUCUAUAAACUUGGAGGCUUCCUAUAACACAAUAAAAUUAAUUCACAGUUUAAUAGAGUUCUCA